GAUGAACGCUGGCGGCGUGCCUAAUACAUGCAAGUCGAGCGAAUGGAUUAAGAGCUUGCUCUUAUGAAGUUAGCGGCGGACGGGUGAGUAACACGUGGGUAACCUGCCCAUAAGACUGGGAUAACUCCGGGCAACCGGGGCUAAUACCGGAUAACAUUUUGAACCGCAUGGUUCGAAAUUGAAAGGCGGCUUCGGCUGUCACUUAUGGAUGGACCCGCGUCGCAUUAGCUAGUUGGUGAGGUAACGGCUCACCAAGGCAACGAUGCGUAGCCGACCUGAGAGGGUGAUCGGCCACACUGGGACUGAGACACGGCCCAGACUCCUACGGGAGGCAGCAAUAGGGAAUCAUCCGCAAUGGACGAAAGUCUGACGGAGCAACGCCGCGUGAGUGAUGAAGGCUUUCGGGUCGUAAAACUCUGUUGUUAGGGAAGAACAAGUGCUAGUUGAAUAAGCUGGCACCUUGACGGUACCUAACCAGAAAGCCACGGCUAACUACGUGCCAGCCGCCGCAGUAA
rnacentral:rRNA from 1 species